GACGAACGCUGGCGGCGUGCCUAAUACAUGCAAGUCGAGCGAAUUUAUGAGAGCUUGCUCUCGUAAAUUAGCGGCGGACGGGUGAGUAACACGUGGGCAACCUGCCUAUAAGACUGGGAUAACUUCGGGAAACCGGAGCUAAUACCGGAUAAUUCACAUCUACUCAUGUAGAUGUGCUGAAAGACGGUUUCGGCUGUCACUUAUAGAUGGGCCCGCGGCGCAUUAGCUAGUUGGCGAGGUAACGGCUCACCAAGGCAACGAUGCGUAGCCGACCUGAGAGGGUGAUCGGCCACACUGGGACUGAGACACGGCCCAGACUCCUACGGGAGGCAGCAGUAGGGAAUCUUCCGCAAUGGACGAAAGUCUGACGGAGCAACGCCGCGUGAGUGAUGAAGGUUUUCGGAUCGUAAAACUCUGUUGUUAGGGAAGAAUAAGUACUAGAGUAACUGCUAGUACCUUGACGGUACCUAACCAGAAAGCCACGGCUAACUACGUGCCAGCCGCCUCGGUAAAAC
rnacentral:rRNA from 1 species